GCUUACGGCCACACGGCCUGAGUACGUCUGAUCUCGGAAGCUAAGCAGGGUCGGGCCUGGUUAGUACUUGGAUGGGAGACCGCCUGGGAAUACCAGGUGCUGUAAGCU
rnacentral:rRNA from 1 species